rnacentral:rRNA from 1 species
UACGUAGGGGGCAAGCGUUGUCCGGAAUCAUUGGGCGUAAAGCGCUUGUAGGCGGCACGUCAAGUCGCGUGUGAAAUCCCCAGGCUUAACCUGGGAAGUGCGCGCGAAACUGACGAGCUUGAGUGCCGGAGAGGGUCGCGGAAUUCCCGGUGUAGAGGUGAAAUUCGUAGAUAUCGGGAGGAACACCAGUGGCGAAGGCGGCGACCUGGACGGACACUGACGCUGAGACGCGAAAGCGUGGGGAGCAAACAGG